rnacentral:rRNA from 1 species
AACGUAGGUGGCGAGCGUUAUCCGGAUUUACUGGGCGUAAAGCGUGUGCAGGCGGGGGGACAAGUGGGGUGUGAAAUCUCCGGGCUAAACCUGGAGGGGUUAUGCCAGACUGUCAUUCUAGAGUGCGAGAGAGGGGCGUGGAAUUCCGGGUGUAGUGGUGAAAUGCGUAGAUAUCAGGAGGAACACCGGUGGUGUAGACGGCUUUCUGGACCGUAACUGACGCUGAGACACGAAAGCGUGGGUAGCAAACAGG